CAGUCGAGCGGAACGAGUUAUCUGAACCUUCGGGGAACGAUAACGGCGUCGAGCGGCGGACGGGUGAGUAAUGCCUAGGAAAUUGCCCUGAUGUGGGGGAUAACCAUUGGAAACGAUGGCUAAUACCGCAUAACACCUUCGGGUCAAAGAGGGGGACCUUCGGGCCUCUCGCGUCAGGAUAUGCCUAGGUGGGAUUAGCUAGUUGGUGAGGUAAUGGCUCACCAAGGCGACGAUCCCUAGCUGGUCUGAGAGGAUGAUCAGCCACACUGGAACUGAGACACGGUCCAGACUCCUACGGGAGGCAGCAGUGGGGAAUAUUGCACAAUGGGCGCAAGCCUGAUGCAGCCAUGCCGCGUGUGUGAAGAAGGCCUUCGGGUUGUAAAGCACUUUCAGUCGUGAGGAAGGUAGUGUAGUUAAUAGCUGCAUUAUUUGACGUUAGCGACAGAAGAAGCACCGGCUAACUCCGUGCCAGCAG
rnacentral:rRNA from 1 species